rnacentral:rRNA from 1 species
GAGUUUGAUCCUGGCUCAGAACGAACGCUGGCGGCGUGCUUAACACAUGCAAGUCGAACGUGAUCCAGAGCUUGCUCUGGUGAAAGUGGCGCACGGGUGAGUAACGCGUGGAUAACCUGCCCUGGUAUCUGGGAUAACAUCUCGAAAGGGGUGCUAAUACCGGAUAAGCCUACGGGAUCUUCGGAUUCUGCAGGAAAAGGAGGCCUCUAUUUAUAAGCUUCCGUAUCAUGAUGGGUCCGCGUACCAUUAGCUAGUUGGUGGGGUAAUGGCCUACCAAGGCGACGAUGGUUAGCUGGUCUGAGAGGAUGAUCAGCCACACUGGAACUGAGACACGGUCCAGACUCCUACGGGAGGCAGCAGUGGGGAAUUUUGCGCAAUGGGGGAAACCCUAACGCAGCAACGCCGCGUGAGUGAUGAAGGCUUUCGGGUCGUAAAGCUCUGUCAGAGGGGAAGAAAUGAAACGUGCUAAUAUCACGUUUUCUUGACGGUACCCUCAAAGGAAGCACCGGCUAACUCCGUGCCAGCAGCCGCGGUAAUACAAGGGCSYYYYCGGCAR